UACGGGGGGGUGCGAGCGUUGUCCGGAAUCACUGGGCGUAAAGGGCGCGUAGGCGGCGUGACAAGUCACUUGUGAAAUCUCCGGGCUUAACUCGGAACGGUCAAGUGAUACUGUCGUGCUAGAGUACAGAAGGGGCAACUGGAAUUCUCGGUGUAGCGGUGGAAUGCGUAGAGAUCCGGAAGAACACCGGUGGCGAAGGCGGCCUGCUGGGCAGUUGCUGACACUGAGGCGCGACAGCGUGGGGAGCAAACAGG
rnacentral:rRNA from 1 species